AUACCUGCCAAGAUGCGAUUCCUAAGGAAUUGCUGCUGCAGGGGGCAGGAAGCUAGAACUCGUGGCUGGAUCUGGGACUCCAAUUCCCAGAAUCCUCGGGAGUGUGACGUCAGCGGCACAAGUGGUUGAACGCGGAAGUAGAAACAUUUGUUUACAUGCAGGCAGAGGAAAUCGAGUUUGUUCACGGGAAUAUAUCGUGCAAUUAAAGGCUUCAAGCGCUGAUUUUACUUCGAGAAGGAACACGAACAUUCAGUAAACUCAGAAGAGAUGUGAGAGCAUGGACUAAUGGAACUUUCUGGGUUUACAUCAGCAGGUGCCUGCAUCUUCACCUGGUGUCUGUCCUGCAGAGAUGUGUCAGUCGGGUCUUCCUGGCUCCAUUUGGCUCCAGCAGGUAGAGGCAGGAGUGGACGUGGGCCCUGACCCCCUCCAUCAGCACCUCUGGGUGCUCCGUGGAAACAGAGGAGAGGUACAGAGGGCCGGAGGAAGGGUCUGCCUGCCACGUCCUGAGAGGAGAGGAGAUUAUCAGGACGGAGAAUCCAAAUGUGACACAGGAAAGUGACUGCUAUAACAGACCAUCAUAUGUUGUAAAAUAUUAGAGAACACGUAUGGCAAAGUAUGGCAAAAAAUGUCAUAUGUCGAUAAAAAGUCAUAGCUAAUGUCGAAGAAAAAUGAUAGCAUAGUAUGGCUGACAGAAAAUCAUAGUGUAGUAUGUACAUAUGAACGCAAAUAUCCAAGUGUAGUAUGUGAGUAUUUCAAAUAGUAUGUCGAAAAAAUCUGAGAAAUCGUAGAAUAAAGUCAAAGAUUCAUAUUUAGAAAUCAAGUCAUAGUAGUAUUCGGUAAAAACAUCUGCUACUGUCUACUGCUUGCUUGAGUCUGUCUACUCAAGAAACCCUAACCCUGUGUAUUUUGGUAAAUAAAACUGUCAGGAAAACAAGAACAAAAUGCCCUGCAAGAAUGAUAAAGAACAUAUCUGCCA